CCUACGGGGGGCAGCAGUAGGGAAUCUUCCGCAAUGGACGAAAGUCUGACGGAGCAACGCCGCGUGAACGAUGAAGGCCUUCGGGUCGUAAAGUUCUGUUGUUAGGGAAGAACAAGUAUCGGAGUAACUGCCGGUACCUUGACGGUACCUAACCAGAAAGCCACGGCUAACUACGUGCCAGCAGCCGCGGUAA
rnacentral:rRNA from 1 species